AACGAACGCUGGCGGCAUGCCUAACACAUGCAAGUCGAACGAGAUCUUCGGGUCUAGUGGCGCACGGGUGCGUAACGCGUGGGAAUCUGCCCUUUGGUUCGGAAUAACAGUUGGAAACGACUGCUAAUACCGGAUGAUGACGAAAGUCCAAAGAUUUAUCGCCAGAGGAUGAGCCCGCGUAGGAUUAGCUAGUUGGUGUGGUAAAGGCGCACCAAGGCGACGAUCCUUAGCUGGUCUGAGAGGAUGAUCAGCCACACGGGGACUGAGACACGGCCCAGACUCCGACGGGAGGCAGCAGUGGGGAAUAUUGGACAAUGGGCGAAAGCCUGAUCCAGCAAUGCCGCGUGAGUGAUGAAGGCCUUAGGGUUGUAAAGCUCUUUUACCCGGGAUGAUAAUGACAGUACCGGGAGAAUAAGCUCCGGCUAACUCCGUGCCAGCAGCCGCCGUAA
rnacentral:rRNA from 1 species